rnacentral:rRNA from 1 species
GCAGUGGGGAAUCUUGGACAAUGUGUUAACACACGAUCCAGCAAUAUCUUAGAGACUAUGAAGGUUUGAGAGAACUGAAAGGUUUAGAAUAAUAAAAGAACAAGGUAUUUCUUGACUUACUUUUAUUAUGUAAGCUCCGACUAAUUUCGUGCCAGCAGUCGCGGUAAGACGAGAGGAGCAAGUGUUAUUCGUGCUGAUUGGGCGUAAAGGGUAUGUAGACGGUUAAAUAAGUUUAAAGUUAAAACAAUGAGCUUAACUCUUGAGAAGCUUUUUAAUACUAUUUAACUUUGAGUAUAUUAGAAAAUAGUGGGAUUUUUAGAGGAAAGGUAAAAUUUAAUGAUUUUAAGGAGACGAAGCUUGCGAAGGCGACUUUUUAUAAUAUACUGACGUUGAGAUACAAAAGUAUAGGGAGCAAAGAGGAUUAGAGACCUCGUAGUCUAUACUGUGACCGAUGAAUAUUGGAAAAAUAAAAAUGACUUAUAUUUAUUUAUCUAAGCUAACGCGUAAAUAUUCCGCCUGGGAACUAUGGCCGCAAGGUU